CUUUCAUCUUUAUAUUCUUCAAAAUUAUUCCAAAGAGUUUCAACACCAGGACUAAAAAUUUUGCCUGGUUGUCCAAUUUUUCUCUUUUUUCUCAGAUCUUUGUAUUUUGGGGGGUUUUGGAGAUGAAGGUUUCUUCAAUCCUUUUUGUUUCAUUAUUUCGGCCAUCUUCUUUGGAUCAUUAUGAUGUUUCGACCUCACCUCUUUGACGCUCGUUGAUUUCUUUAAUUGUUCUACCAUUAGAGCAAGCCUACAUAAUCAUAUAAUAAAA
rnacentral:lncRNA from 1 species